rnacentral:rRNA from 1 species
UACGUAGGUGGCGAGCGUUGUCCGGAUUUACUGGGCGUAAAGAGCGCGCAGGCGGUCGUACAAGUCGCGUGUGAAAUCCCUCGGCUUAACCGGGGAACUGCGUCUGAUACUGGAUGGCUUGAGUUCGGGAGAGGGAUGCGGAAUUCCAGGUGUAGCGGUGAAAUGCGUAGAUAUCUGGAGGAACACCGGUGGCGAAGGCGGCAUCCUGGACCGACACUGACGCUGAGGAGCGAAAGCCAGGGGAGCAAACGGGG